UUGUUUGACAGGAUUCGCUGGGACUGGACUGGACUAGACUAUAGUCCAGUGUUUGGUGGGUACCGGGAUUAGCUUUAAUGAGCUUAGGUGGGAUUCGCUAGGACUAAGGGGGGGCUUAGCCGUUCUUCACGAGGGAUCCCAAAUUCGGGCGGACUCGUAAGCCAGAGAAACCGCGUCUUCCCACAUCUCACAUCCCACAUCGUCCUCAUCUCUGCGUCUGCCCUCGUCGUCGUCCUUGCCGUGCUCCCACAUCGUCCUCACGCUCAUCGUCGUCCUUGCAUCUGGUCGCUGUCAUCUGCCUCUAGUCGAGAAGAGGAGCAUAAACGGAAGGCUAAGGCUAAGGCUACUGCAUUACAGGUGUCCUUUAAUUUCCCUUUUCACAUGCAAUGCCUAGCAAUGAUAGCAAUCCUCAUACUAGUGUUCUUAGACAAAUGUUUAUAGAUGUAUAAGAGUAGAACAUUUUGAAUAUGAUGCCUCGGGUUAAUGAAAACUUUUUUUUUUCAACGCCAUAUGUA